rnacentral:rRNA from 1 species
UUUUACCGAGUGGCGGACGGGUGAGUAACGCGUGGGUAACCUGCCUCAUACAGGGGGAUAACAGUUGGAAACGGCUGCUAAUACCGCAUAAGCGCACAGUACCGCAUGGUACGGUGUGAAAAACUCCGGUGGUAUGAGAUGGACCCGCGUCUGAUUAGGUAGUUGGUGGGGUAACGGCCUACCAAGCCGACGAUCAGUAGCCGACCUGAGAGGGUGACCGGCCACAUUGGGACUGAGACACGGCCCAA